rnacentral:tRNA from 1 species
AGCAGCUUGGCGCAGUGGAAGCGCGGUAUGUACACACAGAUUCACUCAUUUCUAAUCAUCCACUAACUUUCAAACAGCCGGGCUCAUAACCCGGAGGUCGCUGGAUCGACACCAGCAGCUGCUA